rnacentral:misc_RNA from 1 species
CCAAUAGCGUAUAUUAAAGUUGUUGCAGUUAAAAAGCUCGUAGUUGAAUUUCGGGAUCAAUAUAUCGGUCGUGCCAUUGGUACGUACUGGUAUCAUUGGUUUCUCCUUUCUGACGAACCAUGAUGUCAUUAAUUUGGUGUUAUGGGAAGUUAGGACUGUUACUUUGAAAAAAUUAGAGUGUUUAAAGCAGGCUUUAGCUUGAAUACAUUAGCAUGGAAUAAUGAAAUAGGACGUUCGAACCUAUUUUGUUGGUUUCUAGGAUCAACGUAAUGAUUAAUAGGGAUAGUUGGGUGCAUUAGUAUUCAAUUGUCAGAGGUGAAAUUCUUGGAUUUAUUGAAGACUAACUACUGCGAAAGCAUUUGCCAAGGAUGUUUUCAUUAAUCAAGAACGAAAGUUAGGGGAUCGAAGACGAUCAGAUACCGUCGUAGUCUUAACCAUAAACUAUGCCGACUAGGGAUCGGAUGAUGUUAAUUUUUUAAUGACUCAUUCGGCGCCUUACG